rnacentral:rRNA from 1 species
GAUGAACGCUGGCGGCAUGCCUAAUACAUGCAAGUCGAACGAGAGGAAGGAAAGCUUGCUUUUCUGAAUCUAGUGGCGAACGGGUGAGUAACACGUAGGUAACCUGCCCAUGUGCCCGGGACAACUUCUGGAAACGGAUGCUAAAACCGGAUAGGUAGCAGACAAGCAUUUGACUGCUAUUAAAGUGGCUAAGGCCAUGAACAUGGAUGGACCUGCGGUGCAUUAGCUAGUUGGUGAGGUAACGGCCCACCAAGGCGGCGAUGCAUAGCCGGCCUGAGAGGGCGGACGGCCACAUUGGGACUGAGACACGGCCCAAACUCCUACGGGAGGCAGCAGUAGGGAAUUUUCGUCAAUGGGGGGAACCCUGAACGAGCAAUGCCGCGUGAGUGAGGUAGGUCUUCGGAUCGUAAAGCUCCGUUGUAAGAGGAAAACGACAUUCAUAGGGAAUGAUGAGUGAGUGAUGGUAUCUUACCAGAAAGUCACGGCUAACUACGUGCCAGCAGCCGCGGUAA